rnacentral:piRNA from 1 species
UCAAUAUGUCCAUAAAAUUCA